rnacentral:rRNA from 1 species
UGGGGAAUUUUGGACAAUGGGCGAAAGCCUGAUCCAGCAAUGCCGCGUGUGUGAAGAAGGCCUUCGGGUUGUAAAGCACUUUUGUCCGGAAAGAAAUGGCUCUGGUUAAUACCUGGGGUCGAUGACGGUACCGGAAGAAUAAGGACCGGCUAACUACGUGCCAGCAGCCGCGGUAAUACGUAGGGUCCAAGCGUUAAUCGGAAUUACUGGGCGUAAAGCGUGCGCAGGCGGUUGUGCAAGACCGAUGUGAAAUCCCCGAGCUUAACUUGGGAAUUGCAUUGGUGACUGCACGGCUAGAGUGUGUCAGAGGGGGGUAGAAUUCCACGUGUAGCAGUGAAAUGCGUAGAAAUGUGGAGGAAUACCGAUGGCGAAGGCAGCCCCCUGGGAUAACACUGACGCUCAUGCACGAAAGCGUGGGGAGCAAACAGGAUUAGAUACCCCUGGUAGUCCACGCCCUAAACGAUGUCAACUAGUUGUUGGGGAUUCAUUUCCUUAGUAACGUAGCUAACGCGUGAAGUUGACCGCCUGGGGAGUACGGUCGCAAGAUUAAAACUCAAAUGAAUUGACGGGGUCAUAGCUGUUUCCU